rnacentral:rRNA from 1 species
AUUGAACGCUGGCGGCAGGCCUAACACAUGCAAGUCGAACGAGUGGCGGACGGGUGAGUAAUGUCUGGGAACGUGCCCGAUGGACGGGGCUAACUACUGGAAACCGUGGCUACUACCGCUUACUAUCGGUUGUGCCGUGAGGGGAUUAGCUAGUGGGGGGGGUAACGGCUCACCAAGGCGACGAUGCCUAGCGGGUCUGAGAGGAUGACCAGCCACACUGGGACUGAGACACGGACCAGACUCCGACGGGAGGCAGCAGUGGGGAAUAUUGCACAAUGGGCGAAAGCCUGAUCCAGCAAUGCCGCGUGAAUGAAGAAGGCCUUCGGGUGGUAAAGAACUUUUGUCAGGGAAGCGGUACCCGAAGAGGAAGCACCGGCUAACUACGUGCCAGCAGCCGCGGUAAUUC